rnacentral:misc_RNA from 2 species
UGUGGGAGCGGGCUUGCUCGCGAAGGCGGUUUGUCAGCUAACGAUUAUGUCGGCUGAUACACCGAAUUCGCGAGCAAGCCCGCUCCCACA